AUGUUGUAGACAGUGAGAAGGUAGUUUGCCCU
rnacentral:piRNA from 1 species